AAGCCUGGCAUACUUGGUACAACUUAAGCACCAGGUAAAAUCUGGUGCUUAAGUUGUACCAAGUAUAGCCAAGUUU
ensembl:miRNA